CGGGCAAACGGCGUGCUCUGUCCUCCUGCCUGAACCCAGCGAGCCUGAGGGGCGAAGCAGAGAGAGAAAAAAAAAAAAAGGCGACAGGAGUGUGUAGUCUCCUGAGGAUGGUAAUCAUGUGUUUUAAUGGUUUAAUGAUGUCUUGGCAGACCUCACAGUUCAUCCCAGGAGGGUUAACAGUCCCUGGUGAAUACAACCACACACACACACACACACACACAGAGUUAUAAAUAGCACAGUCUUAAUUGAAAACUUUCACAACUUCCUCCUUGCUGUAGGUUCAACAUGUUUCCUGUCAGUUUACCUACUUUACAAGAGAAACAAAGCGUAUCCGAGAGCCGAGACGACGCGAUGAUGUGACCGUCCUCUCUGGCUACACUAUGUGAAAUUCGUCUAGCUGAGCUCCUCUGCAUAAUUAAUGCAUUUUAAUUGGAGUGUUUUUCCUGCCGCAUUUCUUAUUCAUGAGCUGUUAUUGGAGGAUGACUGGAGGCCAAUCAGCACGUCUGUGUCAUUACUGCUGAUUGGAACCUGAGGGCCUAAAAAACUCCGACAGGAAGGAUCGCUGCAGUGAAAACGUUGGAAGCUCACACAGGAAAAGCGGAACAGCAGGACUGACCACCGUAGCCCUUUAAGUUCAGCAGGUUCAGGGUUUGGGAAGGUCCAGGUUAACAACCUUUAAGUCCUCCUCGUGGAAAAGCAGCUUUAACGAGAUGAAGUAAAGGAC